GCAGCUAAACUAUCAGACCAGGGAAGCUUAAUUUAACACAAUCUCCUUCUUUCCUAUCCCAAGCUUAAUUAGUCUGCAAUUUCGAGAAGAAUGGCAUCGUUAAAAGCUGAGAAGCCUGUUGCCAAAGCAACACCUAAAGCUCCAGCCUCCAAACCGGCGCCUAAGAAGGCUGAGCAGAAGCCCAGGGAACCUAAGAAAAAGGCAUCCGGAGGUGGGAAGCCGUCGGCAGCAGCCAAGAAUAUCUAAAAUGGAGGAGAAUGGACGACAAGAACUUUGGUAUAACAUGUUAAUUAAGAUGAUGCAAUCACUUCAUGAAACUAAUUAAUUAAAAUUAUGUAUUUAUAAUUAGUUUCUGGAGAGCUUGCUUAGUGUUAAUUACAUUGUUAUGGAAGCUCUUGUUCCCCAUGUACUACCAUCCCAUGUUUCUACCUUUUUAAGCUUUCCGCAUUAAAUAAAUAAAUAACGUAUAUUUUACAUAU